CAGCAGCCGCGGUAACACGAAGGGGGCUAGCGUUGUUCGGAAUUACUGGGCGUAAAGCGCACGUAGGCGGAUAUUUAAGUCAGGGGUGAAAUCCCAGAGCUCAACUCUGGAACUGCCUUUGAUACUGGGUAUCUUGAGUAUGGAAGAGGUUAGUGGAAUUGCGAGUGUAGAGGUGAAAUUCGUAGAUAUUCGCAGGAACACCAGUGGCGAAGGCGGCUAACUGGUCCAUAACUGACGCUGAGGUGCGAAAGCGUGGGGAGCAAACAGGAUUAGAUACCCCCGUAGUCCCUGUCUCUUAUAC
rnacentral:rRNA from 1 species